GGACUACAGGGGUAUCUAAUCCUGUUUGCUCCCCACGCUUUCGUGCAUGAGCGUCAGUGUUAUCCCAGGGGGCUGCCUUCGCCAUCGGUGUUCCUCCACAUCUCUACGCAUUUCACUGCUACACGUGGAAUUCUACCCCCCUCUGACACACUCUAGCCGACCAGUCUCAACGGCAAUUCCCAGGUUAAGCCCGGGGAUUUCACCGCUGACUUAGUCAACCGCCUGCGCACGCUUUACGCCCAGUAAUUCCGAUUAACGCUCGCACCCUACGUAUUACCGCGGCUGCUGGCAC
rnacentral:rRNA from 1 species